rnacentral:rRNA from 1 species
GAUGAACGCUGGCGGCGUGCCUAACACAUGCAAGUCGAGCGAACAGAUGAGGAGAUUGCUCCUCUGACGUUAGCGGCGGACGGGUGAGUAACACGUGGAUAACCUACCUUUAAGACCGGGCUAACUUCGUGGAACCGGCGCCGAUAACGGAUAAUAUAUUGCACCGCAAGGUUCAAUAGUGCAUGACGGUUUUGCCGUCACUCCUAGAUGCUACCGUGCCGCAUUAGCUAGUUGGUAAGGUGAUGGCUUAACAAGGUAACAAGGCGAAGCCGACAAGAGGGGGAGAUCGGCUACACGGGAACUGAGACACAGCCCCGACACCGGCGGUGAGCAGCAGUAGGGAAUCUUACGCAAUGGACGAGAGCCUGACGGAGCAACGCCGCGUGAGUGAUGAAGGUCUUCCGAUCGUAAAACUCUGUUAGUAGGGAAGAACAAAUGUGUAAGUAACUAUGCACAUCUUGACGGUACCAAAUCAGAAAGCCACGGCUAACUACGUG